rnacentral:rRNA from 1 species
UAGCUAAUACUUGCUUUAAGUGCUUUUUACUUCCUUGGAGUAAUUAGCAUGUAUUUGUUAAGCCUUAUAAGAAAAAUUUUUAAUUAAAGGAAUUAUAACAAAGAAGUAACACAUAAUAUAUUUACUAUAUUUAGUGUGUAUCAAUCGAGUUUCUGACCUAUCAGCUUUUGAUGUUAGGGUAUUGG